rnacentral:rRNA from 1 species
GUCUAUGGCCAUGCUACCCUGAACGAGCCCAAUCGCGUCUAAUCUCGGAAGCUAAAGAGGGUCAGGCCUGGUUAGUACUUGGAUGGGAGACCACCUAGGAAGACCAGGUGCUUGUAGGCG